ACUAGAAGUCGCCGAGUCCAACCGUAAGGAGGCCAGCGCCCAAGGUAUGGCCCAUGAUUGGGGUG
rnacentral:rRNA from 1 species